rnacentral:rRNA from 1 species
GACGAACGCUGGCGGCGUGCUUAACACAUGCAAGUCGAACGGAAAGGCCCUGCUUGCCGGGUACUCGAGUGGCGAACGGGUGAGUAACACGUGGGUGAUCUGCCCUGCACUUCGGGAUAAGCCUGGGAAACUGGGUCUAAUACCGGAUAGGAGCCAUUUUUAGUGUGAUGGUUGGAAAGUUUUUUCGGUGUAGGAUGAGCUCGCGGCCUAUCAGCUUGUUGGUGGGGUAAUGGCCUACCAAGGCGGCGGCGGGUAGCCGGCCUGAGAGGGUGGACGGCCACAUUGAGACUGAGAUACGGCCCAGACUCCGACGGGAGGCAGCAGUGGGGAAUAUUGCACAAGGGGCGCAAGCCUGAUGCAGCGACGCCGCGGGGGGGAUGACGGCCUUCGGGUUGUAAACUCCUUUCGCUAGGGACGAAGCUUUUUGUGACGGUACCUAGAUAAGAAGCACCGGCUAACUACGUG